rnacentral:lncRNA from 1 species
UGAGAAAUGGGCCACAUUUCUACCUCCUUGGCCAUGUACUACUAGUGGCAGGGAUGACCCUCUUUAUGUUUUGGGGUGCUUAGGAGUAAAACUGCUUCUGUGUAAAGGGAACAAGACCCAAACAUUCUCCAAAAGCACCUUUUCUGGUAUGAACAUCUUGCAGCUCUUGCAACAUGUCAAUCUCCUCUUAGCAUCCUUACUUACUUUCUGAAAGCCUCCAGGGAGCUGAGAUCCUGUGCUCUCAUAAAAUACUACAGUCUAUUUCCCAUUUGCUUGUGCAGAUCUGCUCUUCUUGCUCCAGUUGAAGCAAGGUAGGGUCCUGUCAUAGACUACGAAACAACAAAUCAUCCUACACAUCUUCCACUUGCAAAACUGUGAGAUUUCGUCAGCAGUCACUGAAGUUUCAGUCAUGUACCCUGCUAGCUCUUGACAGGGUGCGUGUGAGAAUGAGUGUUGGAAGUGGCUGGGCAUGGAGAAACAAGCAAACUAGGAAAUACCCUCAAAGACUACUAAAUCCCUUAAAUAGAUUGAUCAAUCGAUAGGUAGGUAGGUAGGUAGAUAGAUAGAUAGAUAGAUAGAUAGAUAGAUAGAUAGAUAGAUAGAUAGAUAGAUCAAAGGGCUCCAUUACACUGCCUAAGAGGAGGGGCCAGAGGGCUGGUAGAGUCUCAGGUCUGUGGUCAACAUUCUUGGUCCAACCUAAGCUGAUGAAAAUUGCCAAUGGACUAUAUAGUUCUAAAGCUAUCUGAAAAAAAAAAAAACAGAUCUGAUGUGAACAUGGAUCUUAUCCUAUUUUUCUACCAUCCAUCAGUUUUCAGAGUUGAUCCUGGGACACAGGGAUGCCAGAUGAAGUUCAGCAGCUGAAGCAAAGAGCCACUGCUUUGAAAGGCUAACAACAAUUUAUCUUGAGAAAUCUUACUUUCCCUAUCCUAAAUAUCCUAGGAAAUGGCUAAGUGAAUUGUGUUUCCCAUAGCCAGUGAUACUGUCCCAGUGAUGCUGUUCAAAAAAAAAAAAAAUACCACUAAUGAAGAAAAAAAAAUUGUGAAUGCUAUUGUGAGUACACUGGACUCUAAGCAAUGAAGACAUUUUAUUCAUAUAAAUUAAAGCAGAAUGGAAGUGGGCUGCUUUUAAUUCACAUUGUCCAUGAAAUUGCAGGACUGCGUUCGUCUCAAUUUUUCAUGCUCAUUGUCUUCAUUUUAAAAUGGUCAGCUUCAAUUGCCUGUUAUUGGCUCAAGUUGUUCAAUUUGUGACCAACAAUUAAGCAAGGGAACUUAAAUGUCAUUAUUUAGCAUGUGGUCUAAAAUGUCAUUUAGAAAAGCCAGCUGUCUUCAGAGAAUAUCUAACUUUUCUCCCUAAACGUCAGAUGGGGCUGUCUUUGGUAAUAAAGACUGUCGUGCUUAGGAAUUGGAAAAGAUUGUUUGGAGAUAUGAGAAAAACUAAACUUGAAGGGACCCAAUACCACAAAGUCAUUUAAAUUAUGGCAUGAAUUUAUAUCGGUUAUUUGCAGAAUCAGCUUGUCAGUCAGAGGAAGACAACUAAUGCAUCAGCACGUGCUGCCAGGGACAUUAGAACCCAAUACUGAUCACUCCUAAACUUCCUCCUAAACCCCACACACUUGAGAAUGGCUAAAAAAGUAUGUCAGAAAUAUCUUACUUUUAGAGUUGAAACCCUUUGUUUCCAACCACUGAACUCAAGAAAAUCAAGACUUUACACAAGAAUCUCUCAGCUUCACAAUGAGCACAAUUUAAUAGUAUUCUGUCCCACACACCCAAGAGCAGGUGACUAUGGAGGAAAUCCUGGCCAUCAGCAAACUUUCAGUGUCACUCAGGUCGGGAUUAUGCAUAUAUGCUUUCUGUUUGUCCCUUGGAUUGUACAUGUCAACAACAACAUUGACGGCUGCUUAGAGUUGACUUUAAGUAGGAUUUACUCAUGAUGGUCUGUUGUGGAAAAGGUUAUUAUUACCGCUACAAGACUCAAUUAGCAAGAAUUUAAUUUACAAAAUAUUUCCUAAAGAAAACCAAUUUUACUCCUUGACAAAGAACAUACAAUGUAGUGUUGAAUGUACACAUAAGAGAAAACAAGUAAAGAAUGCCAGCAGUCAGUAGGCUUAUGCCAAGAAUCCCAUGGGCCUUUAUAUUAAAGGGACUUGCCAGUCCUGAAAAGGAAAGGCAACCUAAGAGACUACUCAUCCUUUCAGCUUUAUUUUUAAAAUAUUUCAAUGGUUCUGAAAGUCAGAUAUUUUAUUCUUAACAGCCCAAGACAUUUUCAACAAGAAAAUGAUUUUCAGUUUUCUAUUGAAUAGGAGUCAUAGGAGUGGCGUUUAAAUUAUGUAAAAUUCCAGAUUAGUAGAAUGCAAAUUAAAGAGGAAUUAUAAUAAAAUGGAAACAGACUG